rnacentral:rRNA from 1 species
GACACGACUCUCGGCAAUGGAUAUCUCGGCUCUCGCAUCGAUGAAGAGCGCAGCGAAAUGCGAUAUGUGGUGCGAAUUGCAGAAUCCCGUGAACCAUCGAGUCUUUGAACGCAAGUUGCGCCCGAGGCCAACCGGCUGAGGGCACGUCCGCCUGGGCGUCAAGC